rnacentral:lncRNA from 1 species
CUGCGGACGCAGAGGAUCAUCAUUGAGGGGGAUUCUCUGACGGUUAUUAGCUAGAUCCAAGAGGGGACCAAGCACCACGAGGCCCAUCCGCUCCUCGAUGACAUCUUGAGGGCCACUAGCGAGUGCAUUGUAGUGUCUAGUCAGUAUGUGUUACAGGAGGUCAAUAGUGCGGUGGACUGGGUGGCAUCCUCUAUUGCUGAGCAUGCUGGAGACUGAAGAUUGUGCCA